rnacentral:rRNA from 1 species
AGAGUUUGAUCCUGGCUCAGGACGAACGCUGGCGGCGUGCUUAACACAUGCAAGUCGAACGAGACGAUUGAAAGCUUGCUUUUGAAAGUCGAGUGGCAAACGGGUGAGUAACGCGUAGACAACCUGCCGUAAAGAUGGGGACAACAGUCCGAAAGGACUGCUAAUACCGAAUGUUGUGGAACUUCCGCAUGGGAGCUCCACUAAAGAUGGCCUCUACUUGUAAGCUAUCGCUUUACGAUGGGUCUGCGUCUGAUUAGCUAGUUGGUGGGGUAACGGCUUACCAAGGCGACGAUCAGUAGCCGGUCUGAGAGGAUGAACGGCCACAUUGGAACUGAGACACGGUCCAGACUCCUACGGGAGGCAGCAGUGGGGAAUCUUCCGCAAUGGGCGCAAGCCUGACGGAGCAACGCCGCGUGAGUGAAGAAGGGUUUCGACUCGUAAAGCUCUGUUGUCGGGGACGAAUGUGGAGGUUGUGAAUAACAGCUUCCAACGACGGUACCUGACGAGGAAGCCACGGCUAACUACGUGCCAGCAGCCGCGGUAAUACGUANGUGGCGAGCGUUGUCCGGAAUUAUUGGGCGUAANGGGAGCGCNGGNGGGAGGUCAAGUUNUAUCNUUAAAGUNNGGGCUCACCCCGNGNNGGGAUGGAAACCGGNNNUCUUGGNNGC